GGUGGCGUCCCUUAGGGUGGCCCCACGCGUCUCGUGGACCCAGGAACCCGGUGUGACUCCGGGGCGGUUCCGCCACUGUGAGGCCGACCCGACAAGAGUCGGGCGGUCCAGCCAGACACUGGCCACGGGACUUCCGACCAC
rnacentral:ncRNA from 2 species